GGACGUUCAUGUAUUUCAGCUUCAUCAUGACUGCAUGUCUGCUUUGUGUAUUCCUUAUGUGUUUCCUUCAUGAGAUCAAAGCACAAGCUGGUUCUCAACCUAAACUGAUGGUGGAUCGCCCCGUGAUCACAGAAACGGACUUGGUUACAUUAAAGUGUCAGACUCCAGCAUCUGUUUCAGUGACCAAGUGUUAUUUCCACACUCCAUAUAAAAGUAUCCCUGGCGGCUCCUCCUGUACUCGGACACUGACAGGAACUGAACUGCUGUCGAUUGUACAAAGACAAUCCUCCGCUGACAUUACAGUGAGAUGUUAUUACACUGGGAGGAAUGGAGGUAUUACUUCUAAAUCUGCAGACAGUGAUGCGUCCACCAUCAAAA